GAAAGCGGCCUUAGCAGCUACUUGUGAGCUGUAAAGACUUGGGUUGGGCGGGGCUGCGGGAGGUGACGCCGGGAGGUCGCUGCUUUGAGCGCCGGCUGGGGAUCCGCUGAGUGUGAAGCUCUAACCUUCUACUGGGACAGGUGCUGAAGUUUUUACCCCAGAGCAAGGAAGGGAUUGUGUUUAGUUUACGCGCCGUGUUAUUCCUUUCCUUUUCGUGAUCCUCGGUGUCGUUAGUAACCUCCCCCAACCUCCUGUAGCCAAAUGGAAGCAUUGUCCGAGAGUCAAGGGACAAAAGAGCGACUCUCCAGUUUUUCCUCUUAUCAGCCCCAUCAGCUGCUAGUACCCACAGUCCACAAUAGGUUGGGGAUAGAAGCCGCGUUCUUCAGCCAAAAAGGAACUGAGUACAGAGAAUGAGAUAUUGCAGAACUGUUGGAGGACCUGAUGGGGCCGACUGUGAGCUCCAAGAACCACGGCCAGGGGAGCUCCAGACUCUGCCACUGUUAGGAAGAUGUCAAUGUGGG